UGGCGACCGGCGCACGGUGAGUAACGCGUAUGCAACUUACCUAUCAGGAGGGGAUAGCCCGGCGAAAGUCGGAUUAAUACCCCAUGAAACAGGGGUCCCGCAUGGGAAUAUUUGUUAAAGAUUCAUCGCUGAUAGAUAGGCAUGCGUUCCAUUAGGCAGUUGGCGGGGUAACGGCCCACCAAACCGACGAUGGAUAGGGGUUCUGAGAGGAAGGUCCCCCACAUUGGUACUGAGACACGGACCAA
rnacentral:rRNA from 1 species